ensembl:snoRNA Gm24064 predicted gene, 24064
UCUGAAAGAAAUUCAGGAACGUUAGUAGGUAGCAGAGAGGAAAAUGGCUAUGUCUAAACUCAAGGUUCUGACCUAUGAACUUCUAAGUGACUAGUAGCCAAACUUU